rnacentral:rRNA from 1 species
CCUACGGGUGGCAGCAGUGAGGAAUAUUGGUCAAUGGACGAGAGUCUGAACCAGCCAAGUAGCGUGAAGGAUGACUGCCCUAUGGGUUGUAAACUUCUUUUAUAUGGGAAUAAAAUGUUCCACGUGUGGGAUUUUGUAUGUACCAUAUGAAUAAGGAUCGGCUAACUCCGUGCCAGCAGCCGCGGUAAUACGGAGGAUCCGAGCGUUGUCCGGAUUUAUUGGGUUUAAAGGGAGCGUAGGUGGAUUGUUAAGUCAGUUGUGAAAGUUUGCGGCUCAACCGUAAAAUUGCAGUUGAAACUGGCAGUCUUGAGUACAGUAGAGGUGUGCGGAAUGCGUGGUGUAGCGGUGAAAUGCUUAGAUAUCACGAAGAACUCCGAUUGCGAAGGCAGUUCACUGGACUGCAACUGACACUGAGGCUCGAAAGUGUGGGUAUCAAACAGGAUUAGAUACCCGGGUAGUC